rnacentral:RNase_P_RNA from 1 species
UGAGACGACUGGGCGACCGCGCCGGACUAGUCCGGUGAGGAAAGUCGGGGCUCCACGGGCAAGGUGCUCGCGAAACGUGAGUCACGGUGACGUGCAGGAAAGUGCCACAGAAAACAGACCGCCGCCUCCCGGGGAACGGGAUGCGGUAAGGGUGAAACGGUGCGGUAAGAGCGCACCAGCGUCCCGAGCGAUCGGGGCGGCUCGGUAAACCCCACCAGGAGCAAGAUCAAAGCUGGGAGGCGCCCGGUGGUCUCGGCAACGAGACCCUCCCAAGGUAGAUCGCUGAGAUGGAUGGUCGCCCACCCUUCUUCGGAGGGGGGACAGAACCCCGCUUACAGGUCGUCUCACCAU